rnacentral:rRNA from 1 species
AAUUUCUGAUUAUGGAUGUAGCGGUUCCGUUACAUUUGUAGUCAUCCACAUGAGAACCUUUCUCGGCCUUCACUUGGUCGGUUGGGGGAUCAUGUACUUUACUUUGAAAAAAUCAGAGUGUUUCAGGCAGGCGUUUGCAUGAAUACACAAGCAUGGAAUAAUGGAAUAGGACUAGGGUCCUAUUUUAUUGGUUAUUGGACCAUAGUAAUGAUUAAUAGGGACAGUUGGGGGCAUUAGUAUUUAAUUGUCAGAGGUGAAAUUCUUGGAUUUAUUAAAGACUAACUUAUGCGAAAGCAUUUGCCAAGGAUGUUUUCAUUAAUCAAGAACGAAAGUUAGGGGAUCAAAGACGAUCAGAUACCGUCCUAGUCUUAACUAUAAACUAUACCGACUAGGGAUUGGUUGGGUCAUUAGAGCCCAAUCAGCACCUUACGAGAAAUCAGGAGUAUUCGGGUUCCGGGGGGAGUAUGGUCGCAAGGCCGAAACUUAAAGGAAUUGACGGAAGGGCACCACCAGGAGUGGAAUCUGCGGCUUAAUUUGAUUCAACACGGGC